ACAGCAGUCGCCACGGUAAUACGUAGGUGGCAAGCGUUGUCCGGAAUUAUUGGGCGUAAAGGGCUCGCAGGCGGUUUCUUAAGUCUGAUGUGAAAGCCCCCGGCUCAACCGGGGAGGGUCAUUGGAACCUGGGAAACUUGAGUGCAGAAGAGGAGAGUGGAAUUCCACGUGUAGCGGUGAAAUGCGUAGAGAUGUGGAGGAACACCAGUGGCGAAGGCGACUCUCUGGUCUGUAACUGACGCUGAGGAGCGAAAGCGUGGGGAGCGAACAGGAUUAGAUACCCCCGUAGUCCCUGUCUCUUAUAC
rnacentral:rRNA from 1 species